CCAGGUUUCAAGACAAAUUUAUUCAUGAAUGCAGAUAAUUCCAGUGCUUCAAGUGUUAACUUACAUUUUCUUGCCAUUGCAGUGAUGUGAUGGAGGAAUUCUGACAACCCACUUUUCAAUCAUGAUUCAUAUUUUUUUUCGCUGUCAGCUGUCACUUACCAGUGAUGCAUUCUUAUACUUUCUCUUCCUGGGCCAGCUAUUGCUUGGAAGGAAUUCCAGUCGAGUUGAUGUUAAUAUUUGUCAUCAGACAGAAGUACCAGUAUCCAUCAAACAGAACAGUAGACAACCAAACAGCACAAAGAAACAAAUAUGUGGGAAAAAAAACAACAACAACAAAAAAAACUUUGCAAUAAAGUAUCAGAAAAAAAUUGCAACAAUAUGGACAGUGGCAACAACAUAUAACCUCCGUGUAGAAACUUUCAGGAUAAAAAAUGAGCAUAAAAGUAUGGAGAGCCAAGGAGGCUCCAUCACUUACACUACAGUUCAAAAGUUUGGGGUCACUUUGAAAUGUCCUUAUUUUUGAAAGAAAAGCAUUUUUUUUCAAUGAAGAUAACAUUAAAUGAAUCCAGUCUAGAAAUUGUUAAUGUGGUAAAUGACUAUUCUAGCUGGAAACGGCUGAUUUUUAAUGGAAUAUCUCCAUAGGGGUACAGAGGAACAUUUCCAGCAACCAUCACUCCUGUGCUCUAAUGCUACAUUGUGUUAGCUAAUGGUGUUGAAAGGAUAAUUGAUGAUUAGAAAACCUUGUGCAAUUAUGUUACCACAUGAGUAAAAGUGUGAGUUUUCAUGGAAAACGUGAAAUUGCCUGGGUGACCCCAAACCUUUGAAUGGAAGUGUACAUGUAAGCCAAGGUUACAUUAGCAAACAUAGUUCAUAUCAAAAAAGUAAGCAAUGACCAGCAGUGUACUCACAAUACAAGAGAAAACUUUGAGAAAGUUUCGAGGAACAUCAGUGUGCUGUCCUAAAUGAAAAAUGUUGAGUUACAAAAUCUUACAACACAGUUCAGUUAUCCUUCUUCGCUUCACCAGUUUUUUCCUGGUAGAUGUAUUUGUUCUCUAAGUUUAAAUAGUUUGAACAGUUGAGUAGAAACACAUCCACACCAGUCGAAGGGAUGUUUUUUUAGCCACAAAAUCAAAGCCGUUUGCAUGCAUGAACCUCGUAUGAACAGUUCUCAGGAGUAAUGUGCCAGUGUUAAUCAGGGUUACAGCAAUGUUGGUUGUAAUGAAAAGCUCCCAUUCUUUCACAUGGCUGGAGAGGUUGGAGAACCUGGGGAUAGCUUGUUUUGUCAUAGCAAGUAUGAAGCAGGUAUGAAACUAAGAAGAAAGCCAGAGUAACUGCCUUCGCUCAUUAGUUGAAAUCUACCUUUGGCUUCUCAGAUGGUAUUUUAAAUUUGUAUGUAUGCAGAUUUAAGUUACAUUGUUAUCAGCCAUCCUUUCCAUGGUUUUCAUCUUUUUUCUUUAAUUGCUGUUGUCAGCAGUCUUUACAUUUUUGCUGCAUUGGGUAUUACUUCCUCCUACUGCCACCGUUGCAACGUGCAGACUGUUUCUGACUUUGGUUUUUGUGACACUACAGCAGUCAAUAAUGACAAUAUAUUAAAUUUCUCACCAAUAUUUUUUAGUCUGUACUCAAAUCUGCUUGAUUAGGCCAAUACAAUAUCUCAGCUGAUACAAUUUUAAUGUUCUUUUGGAAAGCUUGGUGAACAAUGACUGCACGUUGAUUUAGUUGAACAAGGGCAUGUUGAGAUGAUCAGCUACACAUUGAAACGAUCCAUCUCAAGGAAAUCUGACAUUUGUACAGACAAUUUUUUAUUUUGACUGUCAGAACCUCGUGUUUUUCAAUGUUUCUGUCAAAUUUACUAAUUAUUUUUAGGUUUACAUGAAAAUAUGACAGAUUUUUGAUGUGGCCAAUACAAUACAUUACCUCGUACAUGCACACAUUACACAUGUAUACAGUCAAUAUUCUGUAUUGAUGGUAAAAGGUAUGCUGCUCUGAUGAACUGAGUGAAUAUGUGCUCCACAUUCAUUCUGCAACAGCUGUAGCAAAAAUAGAACUGUGUGAAUUUGUGAAUCUGAAGCAGUUUUCUCAGUGACUUAAAAUUUUUUGAUACGUUAACAAGAAUAAUUUCUACAAAUACUAAUUCUACGUCAGUCUCAGAGCAGUACUACAAAAUAUUGUCAUAUCAGACUAUAGUAAAGAAAACUAUGAUAAAACUAUAAUAGGUAGUCACAGAAUGGAAAAAGGUCUUAAGUCCUUUAUCACUAUGUAAAGCUAUUGGUACCACAAUGUAAGAAUACUGCACUUAUGAGUUUAUGUAAGUAAAAGUAUUUAAAGUCAAAUGUAGUAAAAUAUAAGAAGUACAAGUACUCAUGGAUUUUAUAGACCUGUCGCAUAAGGUCUAAUGUGUCACACUGUAAGUAUUUCAUUCUCAUUUCACAUACUGCUGGUAUUAAACUCUUAAAGGAAUAGUCCUACAUUUAGCUUUUCAUAGUUCAUAAAUAUUAACCAUCUUUCCGUGAGGAAGAUGAACAGUCAGACGGAUAUCAACUUCUGUGUUUUCAAAAGACAAACUUUGAUUUCAGAAGGAGCUUUGGGCUGGAACUGUUUCUUCAAACAACAUCUGCAUCCUGAGGUCUUUCCAUCGCAGAAAGGCUGCCAGUACAGAGCCCACAACUACAGCCUGUGCUCACUGAUCAUAUCUGGCAACCCAUGUAGCCUGCUUGGAGGAUCAAUAAACUAUUAUUCCAAGAACAGGACAUAGUCAUGUAUAUUUCAGCACACAACUCCUCCUAAAGCCAUGAAGUGGCAUUUGCAGACAUUCUUCUAGAUCUUAUUCUGUUGGUAAUCUUUAUGCUAAGCUAGGCUAACCACAUGUGGACUCAAGCUCCUGACCCAAUAUACAAACAUUUGAUUAAUGUCACUUUUUUCAUUUCACUCUCAAAAACAAACCAUAUAAGAGUAUAACUGCAAUGUUGAACUAUUUCUUUAAGACACAGACAAGAACCUGAUAUCAACUGUCUGCUAACUCUCAGAGAGAAAGCUAAUAAGAGUGUUUCAUAAAUCUUGAACAACUGCUUUAAAUAAGGAAAAAUAAAAUGAAAGAAAGGACAGACUCAGUAUUUGUCUUUACUUAAAACAGAACAAAUGAGGAAUGCUUGUUCAUGUCUCACCUUCUGGAGCUCCACGGCAUUAUCAAUCAAGCCAUGAUAAAGCAAUCACUCCAAAUGAAGCACAGAGAAAGAUUUAAUGUACAGAGAUAAAGGUUCGCAUCACUAAGUGCAUAUCAAAAUAAAAUUAUCUUUGAAGCCUACACAUUUGUCACACUGACUAGUUUAAACUCUAGUAGUGCAUCUUAUUUAUAUUUUGCUCAUAACAACAUUAGUCUUCAAGGUAACUAGUUACUACAGCUGUUAAUGGAAUGGAGUAAAAAGGACAACAGUUUUCUCUGAAGGUCUCACAAAAUGAAAUUACUCACAUGAAGUACUAUACUAAAUGUACGGAAAACUUUUUAUCUGUUGGUUUAACUAACCCAAACCUGCAUUACUCUUUCAGCACAUCGCCAUUUCACCACCCCAUUCUGUUAAAUUGUUCAUCUGUUCUGAGAACAAAAUUAGGAUUCUUUUUUCAUGCCACUGCGUACUGAUGUACAAAAUGCUCUACACGUCUUUCGUGAAAUGAUUCAGUUUUGAAGCAACAUUGUCAAACUGACAGAACCGAUCUUACAUGAAACUUGAUGACUCUUUCUGAACAUCAAAAUGUACAACGAGAACAUUUGUGUUUCUUUGAAGUUGAUGCUACUUUACAAGAGAUGGGAGCUUAUCUAUUAUUGCCAGAGACAACUAAAGUGCAUGCUGCUUUACCCACUAACUCAAUGGCUUGUACAGUAAUUCAAUAAAACAUACAUUAAUGUUAUAGUUAACCCUAUAAUACCUAUAGGGUUUGCAGCACAAUGUAUUAGCAGUUUAUUCACUUGUAUACUAAGUAUACAAUCAUCAUAUUUUUCAAAGUGCUAUAAGUAACCCAAAAACAUAUUUCAAUAAUAAUUCAAAUCAUCGUCACAUUAAACCACCAAUGAUAUUAACUUUGACUUUUGUUUAUGUGCUGUAGGGCCACUGGCUAGAAGAAAGACACACAUUUAACUUAGAUAAAUUUUCAACUAAGGUUCAUAUUGAAAAAAAAAAAGUUUUAAAAAUUUACUCAAAAUUUGCUGGGUAUUUUUUUUCUGCUAAUUUAAUUGACAAACAUAAAGGUUUAGCAGUUUAGCAUGAAAUUUGGCACUUCUUUGAGCUUCCUUGAGCACCCACCAUCCAUCCACAUUCAGUGAAAAAAUAUUGUGCAUAUUGAACAUAUUGUAUAUUUGUACACAAUUUACCGUAAACACAAGUCUAAAGUAAGCAAGGGUCUCCAGCUCUCUGGGAAUUCUGAAAACACAGUGACUCCACAGCUGACGAUACUCUCCCUGAUUAAUGCGAUCUGAGGGCUCUACUUGAUGUUAAAGCCAAUCAUAUAUUUGAUAUCAUUAGCAAAAAUGCUUUGUUUUAUUUUCGUCAUCAUCUAAUAGAUCCUCUGUGUCAGAGUAUCCCUGAAUGGUACAUCCUGGUCUUUUGUGCUCUUGCCACCUGUACAUAUGGUACCAUAACCUUUCAUAAACAACAUUUUAUUAGAUGGUAGUGGCAAAUUUUAACAUUUUUUUUAAUAAGUUGUGGCUAAAGGUCUAAUAUUGUGUCAUAGGGAUGAACUCUGGUAGACGAUGGGUCAAUAAAGUGUCUAACACCUGUCACCAUUGUUGCACUGUUAUUUCUCACCUCUCUAGCAUUAUCAAAGUAGCUGUUUUCACCCCAAACUUCAGUCUGUCCCGAACACUAACCAGUGCCCAACCCUAACUAAACUAUAACUAAAACACUGACAGGUCAGAAAGCAGUCAUACUCAUAAUUUUUUAACAAUAACCCAUAACCAUUUCACACCUCUGCGGACCUAAGCAAAGAAAAGGAGCACCACAGCCUUGUUAUUUAUUGGCCUACAACUUGUUAACCCAUUACUAAACAUGACUUACAAAAAUGUCAAUGAAAAGGUUUAAUUCUGUGUUUAGUUAAAUGGUUGUUUAGCUGUUAUGUGACACCAAACAAUCUCCUUAUUAAGCAUAUUACUGAGCUAUACUAAAGACACUACUUACUAUUUGUAACCUUUUAAAAAGCAUCUCUUAAGUAAACGUUGAAUCGAAAAGGGUUAAUCACAUAUUCUGUUGGGCUGUGUGUUUGAUACCAUUCAAACCACACUGCACUCCAAUUCCACACUCCAAAAUAGAGGUUCUUCAAAGUCUGGGGGCCAAGCAGAAGAGCAUCAGGCAGAGAACAAAUAAUUUCAUCCUUGAAAUACUGCAGGAAAACUGUUAAACUUUGUUUGAAUGCUCUUUUCCCUUUAGGACAAUAUUUAGUAUCUUUGAUCACAUUCAAAAUGGUGAUCACUAAAACUCAUCAAACCACAUUUGUUGGAUUGAUCUCAAUCUGCAGAACUCAGUGGCAGAAACCUUUUUUUAAUGAGUGAAGCACUUCAAUUUAUAGACUUCAGAGGUUUGUAGAAGCACCUUAACCUUUGGCGGAGGUUUUUAGAAAAGUGAAACUCUACAAGCAAGUAUAUCUAACACUUGUCUAUGUAAUGAACUAUAUGGAUCAUUAACAAGGCAAAGAUGUGGAAAUGCAACUUACUGACAGCUUCUGCUAGAUUCAUUUGCAUGUAAAUAUCAAAGAGCUUAAAAUGCUUGGUAGGCCAUAAUAAAAGCAUUCCCAAGAUGCUUCAGUUCAUGUGAUGAUGACUGGGUCAACUUUAUGGGAAGAUGCAAAAAUAGGAAGAGAAAUGAUACUGGUGUUAUUGAUACAACUCAGUGUCUGUUUACAUAUAGUGCAUUAAGAUUAAAGGGUGAUUUAUAAAAGGUUAGAAGGUAAUAAUUUUGAGUUAUCGAUCCAGGGGGAAGAUAUAUAUGUAUGUCAGUAUGCCCAAUGCAAAGGUCUUUCAAUGGCAAAACUGAAGGACUGCAUUUAUCAGUAGGGGGUUGUUGGGUUUCUCUCUAUAAUAAUGAAAGACCUUACUAUGUAAAGUGACCCCCCACCCAUC
ensembl:lncRNA